GUCUACAGCCAUGGCACCCUGAACAUGCCUGAUCUCGUUUGAUCUCAGAAGCUAAGCAGGAUCAGGCCUGAUUAGUACUCGGAUGGGAGACCACCUAGGACUACCAGGUGCUAUAGGCU
rnacentral:rRNA from 1 species